GUGCUCGCUUGGGCAGCACACAUACUAAAACUGGAGCGAUGCAGAGAAGAUGAGCACGGCUCCUGCGUGAGGAUGACAUGCAAAUGUGUACAGCGUUCCAUGUUUUU